UGGCUCAGAGGUUAAAGCGUCUGCCUGCAAUGCAGGAGACCCAGGUUCGAUCCCUGG
rnacentral:tRNA from 1 species